rnacentral:lncRNA from 1 species
UGGUUAUUAAAGCAAGACUAUGGACUGAUAAUUAAAAGCAUAUAUUUUCCUUAAAGCAAACUAGAAAAGAACAUACCAAAGCUGUUCUUAACCAAACAUAAACAAUUUAAUAUAUAUACUUGUUUUGUUACAAGGAAGAUAAAAGUUAAAACUAUUUCCCUAUUUAUACAACUGCAAAAAAACAGAUGCAAAAAUGUUUUCUUCUGCAUCUCAAAUCUGGACAAAGAGUAAAGCUGCUGGGGCUGACUUUAUCUGUUCAAUCUGCUCUUUAAGAUUUUGCAAAUCCAACAAGUUGAUAAACUUUAAUUUCUUCAGAACCCUGAAAUAGGAAUUAAGAUCUACAGACCUGAAACUUAAAAAAGUCAUAAUAAACAAAUCAAAUAUUAAUAGAUUUGGCAAAUCAAACAAGGAAUGAAGUUAUACAGUAGCUACAAAUAUAUUCCAUAUUUUUUCUUCAUAUCCCAUAAAUAGAAAAGAAGAUCAGAUCUAAAGACCUGGAUAUAAAAAUCAGAUAUUAGAUCGCUACUAAUAAACAUAAAAGAAAUUAAAAACAAGAAGAAUACAAAUCUGGUCAAAUGAAUGUAGAGCUCCCUUCAAUCCAAAAAGGGAUCCAACUUAGGGUAAUGAAGCUCCUGACAUAUGCAACCCACAAACCUAUCCAAUCAAAUAAUAGAUAGGACUGAGGAAUCCAUAGGUCAGCAGCUUAAUCUUACCUGUUAGAUCCUCUGUUGGACUUCAAGGAGCUCCACUCUCAAAACCCUAAAAACAUUCUUAUAUCACAUAAACAGACAAAAAAAGUCAAACCUAAAUCCUGUCCUAAAACUGCCCAAAAACUGUAUCCAACUUCCAUCUCAUAACAACCCUAGACACAAACCUCACAUAUCAACAAAAGAAAAAAGAUCAAAACCCAGAAAACCACAAGGUUUCUUGAAUCGAUCUACAUAUAUAUACAGAUGUAUGAUACAAGAAGAAAAAAAAGACUGAGAAAAGAUAACCUAGUUGGGAAAAAAAGGGAGGAAAAAAAGACAAGGAAAGCAAUUUAGAAACAACUCAAAACAGCUAAUAAGAUGAAA